CCGGCAAGACGUCGUCGCCGCUACCGGGUCAAGGAAGCGCCGUCAUGCCGUCUCUAGUGGCGGAUCAGGAAAUCGGCAAGACGCCGUCUUCGCUGGCCGGUCGAGGAAGCGUUAUCGAGGAAGUGCCAAGACGUCGUCGAAACUGCCUUUCAUCUGAAAUCUCAAAAUGAAUAUGGUUGUACCAACUGAACUUUUAUUUGGAAAAUUGAUUCAACAUCUGUUAGGAUACAGUAUGUGCCCUGAGCUAGUAAGAGAUAACAAAGCUAUUGUAGCCCUCAAACCAAGGGUGAUUCAGAUUGGAUGAAUUGAAUAUUGUUACUGAAUCUCUUGGUGUGCAAAUCUAAUGUAUAUUGAUCUGAUUGCACCAUGAAUACAGUUAUUUGUAGAAUACUACUCAUGAAAUUGAAACAACUUCUUUGUUUGCAUCAUCAAGUUCUUAUUUCCCAUGAAAGUCAUGUAUUAUGACGAAAUCCUCUUUUUGUAAUUUCAGGAGUUGCGUAAGCUUUAAAAAAACUACCUCAGAUCCUCAAAAUAAUAAAAAUAAAAAAUACUAGCGUGACCUGAUCCCCUGUUCCGCCGCCGCCCGACCCGAGCGCUGGCCGCAUCCAGCAACCACAUCAUGGCGGCGCGACGAAGCAGCCCGCGCCGGCGCCUCCCUGCCGCUCCCCUCUCCCUCUAAACUUGCUCCGCCACCCGCUGCUCGGUGCCUUCCGCCCGUCGGCCUCCUCCUCCGUGGAUCUCGGCUGGUCGAUCCUGCCCGUGGGCGCGUGGCUGGACCGCCCGACACCUCAACUCCGGCGCCAAUGGAACUGCCAUCCUGCUCACCUGCCCGGGACUCCCGUGCGCUUCAGUGCAACGCCCUGCAGCAGCUAUCCCCUGGACUAGCUUUACGGACAUAAGGCAAAAAUGACACGAGAUAAGAGCUGGAUGGACAGGGAAAGAGAUUCUGUUGAGUGGCAAACUGGCAUGAAGGAUUUCUUGAAUUUUGCCUUCGAUGGUGCUCACCCAGACUCAGCAGGCCCAUGCCCAUGUAGGAGAUGUCUCUAUAUUGUUCAGACAAAGAAAAGGGAUGGUCCUGAACUUUUUUUAUGGUUACCUACAAGUAGUAUCUCUCUUGAAGUUUAAUCUGAUGUUAAAUAGGUUCAAACAAGGCACCCCUGCAUAGUGUCAUCUGUUGUGGCAAAUGGGAACAGAAGCUAGUGCCCAGCACUAACAGUUUGGUGAUGAAGAGAAGAGAAGAGUAGUUGCUGUGUUCUUUUAGUGAUGUUGCUAUUUUGACAGUGAUGCUAUGUACAAACUAUUGCUAUGAACUUGUGGUCUUUUAGUGUGGUCGCUAUUUUCAUUACUUUGCCAUCAACUUAUGGUCUUUUGUGUGAACAAUCUUUACAAGUAUGGCUGCUGAAACUUGUGUGUUGUCAUAUUGAAACAUGUGUUAUAUAUCUCGCUGAGAUGAUUUAUUAUAUCCUACUAAAA